UGCAUGCAUCGAGAAGAAAGAUUUGAAGUGACAGGUUUCUAGACAGUAGGGCCCUGAGCAGUUUUUUAUCCUCAAGACCUAACUUCUCCAUUGCCGUGGAAUUAGUUGUGCUGAUCCUGAAAGGUUCCCUCAGCACAAAUAUAAAUACCAUUUCCUGGGUGAGGGAAAAAAGUCAUGGAAGAAGCUUUGAUUUGGAGGCCAGCAACCUGCAACCUGUGUUGCUGUCCACUUUGUGGCGGGGACGGCCUCUCACCAACUUGUUAUAUUUGCAUCUAUCCUGCUUUUGGAAGGCUUACUUUGAACAGUGGACACUGCUCUAUUCCACUAAUGGAGAUCCCAAUGGGUUAUCUGAUUUUCUCACCCUGCUUCCAUUGUUCUGUUUGGGUGUUUGCCGUUUGUGCUUAUUUUAUCUGUCUCUGUCACUUGCUGUAGUCUCUGACUGGCACCAAGAGCUCAUCUCGCUUCUCUGGACGUGGCAGGAUGUACCAAGUUUAGGACUGAUCAGUCAUCAUGCUUGUGAUGAUAACUUCCUUUUCCCCCUUUUUCCAUGUUCAUCAAGUGCACGACUUAAGUCAAAGCAUCUUCUCAGAUAUGUGCAUGCAUCUCAGGAACCCUUUGGACCCUCCAUGCUAGGAAGAAGUAAAAAAUUCAGUUAACCUCUGUGAUAUUGAUGCCUGUCUUCGUAUAUUCAUGUGUGUAUGGCACUAUGCCAGUUUAUUCACUUGUCUGAAACUUGGCAAUCAUGCAGAGAAACAAUUUUUUGGAAUGAUUUAUUUUUGUUGGCAGGAUUCAUAUUGAGCAUGAUGUGCAAAAUCACAAUCCGUCCAUCAUCUUGACCAUCAGCAGUCUGAAGAUUAUAAUUCUCGUCGUAUGGUGAUUGAGGCCACCACAAGAUGAUGAUGACGGGGCAGUUCUUUUCCAGAAAAAUUAGUUGAUAAGUAAUGUGAUCCGGUGACGACAGCGGAUGCCGAUGGCAACACAUGAAGAGGCGGAGCCGAAACCACCACCCGUUUUGCAUGAUUUGGUCCCGCCACGCACGCGCUCACGCUAGGUGGAGGAGGAGCGGCCUAGGGAGGGAGCCAAAGCCCAAAGGUGGAGGAGCUAUCAAAAGCAGCAAUGCAGCAUCCACUGACUGGGCAAUCCAUGGACAGAAAACUAGAGGCUGCUUUUGGCCUGCUGCCCUGUGAGGUUAGCACACAAUGAGCUCAUGGCAACACUUGUCCUGCGCCGGGUAUAGUGGAGCUACGGCCGGAUCGAUAUCUUUUUGCGCCUGGAUCGUGAUGAAGUUGUUUAUGGUGAACAGUGGAAGAGUCCAGUCCAGACUCAAUAGUCAGCCAUCACCAACCAAAAAUAUAUUAGGGCCUGACCCUGACAGGAAAUGUUUUAUUAUCUUUAUAUGAGCAUAACACAUGUAAGUAAUUACAAGGUGAUUUGUUUUGGAUUUGGUCCCUAGAUCCGACAGUAGCACACUGUUGCAUCAACAGGGUUGCAAUGUAAUGCUGCUAUGUAUUGCCUUGUGAUAUCAUUGUGCACGUUUCAAAUAUACCUAGAAGCAUGCAUCAUCAGCAAGCUACAUGUGCGUGCUCCUGCAUUGAUAA